UACGGGAGGCAGCAGUGGGGAAUAUUGGACAAUGGGCGGAAGCCUGAUCCAGCAACGCCGCGUGAGGGAUGACGGCCUUCGGGUUGUAAACCUCUUUCAGCACAGACGAAGCGCAAGUGACGGUAUGUGCAGAAGAAGGACCGGCCAACUACGUGCCAGCAGCCGCGGUAAUACGUAGGGUCCGAGCGUUGUCCGGAAUUAUUGGGCGUAAAGGGCUCGUAGGUGGUUGAUCGCGUCGGAAGUGUAAUCUUGGGGCUUAACCCUGAGCGUGCUUUCGAUACGGGUUGACUUGAGGAAGGUAGGGGAGAAUGGAAUUCCUGGUGGAGCGGUGGAAUGCGCAGAUAUCAGGAGGAACACCGAUGGCGAAGGCAGGUCACUGGGCCGCAACUGACGCUGAGGAGCGAAAGCAUGGGGAGCGAACAGGAUUAGAUACCCUGGUAGUCCACGCUGUAAACGGUGGGUACUAGGUGUGGGGUCCAUUCCACGGGUUCCGUGCCGUAGCUAACGCUUUAAGUACCCCGCCUGGGGAGUACGGCCGCAAGGCUAAAACUCAAAGGAAUUGACGGGGGCCC
rnacentral:rRNA from 1 species